rnacentral:rRNA from 1 species
AUGGUGGCUUGUGGGCGGAUAUUUCUCAGACCUAAGUUGUUGCCGCUGGACCGUGGUUACAUUCAUCCUAGCUUGGAGGAAAUGGUGCGGGAAGAUAUGCAUGUGCAGGGCGAAGAAGUGGACGAAGGCCGAAGCAGCAAUCUCUGCCUCCCUAUCGCUGCGUCCUGCUCCUCAAUAUGUCACCUUAGUCAUGGCCGCCUUAUCCCUCAUGCUGCUGAUUUGAAUCUGCCCUACUCUUCUUCUCCUAGACUGCUCGAGCGCUUCAGCGGGUGCCUUGCCGACGACAGGGAAGGAAGGACCAGAGCAAAAGCCACGAAAUUGAGGUACGCAGAAGAUGAACAAACCUGA